CUUUUCCUACGGGAGGCAGCAGUGGGGAAUAUUGCACAAUGGGCGAAAGCCUGAUGCAGCAACGCCGCGUGAAGGAAGAAGUAUUUCGGUAUGUAAAGCUCUAUCAGCAGGGAAGAAGAAAGACGGUACCUGACUAAGAAGCCCCGGCUAACUACGUGCCAGCAGCCGCGGUAAUACGUAGGGGGCAAGCGUUAUCCGGAUUUACUGGGUGUAAAGGGAGCGUAGAGGGCAUAGCAAGUCUGAAGUGAAAGCCCGUGGCUCAACCGCGGAACUGCUUUGGAAACUGUUAAGCUGGCGUACUGGAG
rnacentral:rRNA from 1 species